ensembl:lncRNA
UGGUUGUGCAAUGGGCGUGCAAAGGGCGUGCAGGGCGCCGAGGGCGUGCGGUGCGUGUUGUGAGUGUGUGUGUGGUGGGUGUUGUGUGUGUUGUGUGGUGUGUGCAGUGUGUGUGUGUGUGUGUGUGUCAUGUGUGGUGUGUGCAAUGAGUGUGCAAUGGGUGUGCAAAGGGCGUGUGGGGCGCCGAGGGUGUGCGGUGUGUGUGUUGUGUGUGUUGUGUGUGUGGUGUGUGCAGUGGGUGUGCAAUGGGUGUGCAAAGGGCGUGCGGUGCGUGUUGUGUGUGUGUCGUGUGUUCUCUGUGUUGUGUGUACAAUGGGCGUGCAAAGGGUGUGCGGGGCACAGAGGAUGUGCAGUGUGUGUUGUGAUUGUGUGUGGUGGGUGUGUGUAGUGUCUGUGCAAUGGGUGUGCAAAGGGUGUGCAGGGCACCGAGUGCGUGUGGUGCAAUGUAUUGUGUGCGUGUCUUGUGUUAUGUGUGUGCUGUGGGUGUGCAAUGGGCGUGCAAAGUGCGUGCGGGGCACUGAGGGCGUGUGGUGUGUGUGCUGUGUAUGUCUUGUGAUAUGUGUGUGCUGUGGUUGUGCAAUGGGUGUGCAAAGGGUGUGCAGGUCACCGAGUGCGUGCGGUGUGUGGUGUGUGUGUCUGUCACAUGUGUUGUGUGUGCAAUGGGCGUGCAGUGGGUGUGCAGGGCACUGAGUGUGUGCGGUGUGUGUUGUGUGUGUGUGGUGUGUGCAAUGGCUGUGCAAUGGUUGUGCAAUGGUUGUGCAGCAGCUGUGCAAUGGCUGUGCAAUGGUCGUGCAAAGGGCAUGCGGUACAUGUUGUGUGCUGUGUGCGUAUCGUGUGUUCUGUGUACGGUGUGUGCUGUGGGUGUGCAGUGGGCGUGCAAAGGGUGUGUGGGGCACCGAGUGCAUGCGGAGUGUGUUGUGUGUGCGGUGGAUGGGAUGUGUCACAUGUGCAGUGGGUGUGCAAUGGGUGUGCAGGGUGUUGAGUGUGUGUGUGUCACAUGUUCUGUGUGCACUGAGUGUGCAAUGGGCAUACAAUGGGUGUGCAAUGGGUGUGCAAAGGGCGUGCGGUGUGUGUUGUGAUUGGGUGUGUUGUGUGUGUGUUGUGUGUGUAUUGUGUGCAGUGGGUUGUGUGGUGUGUGUCAUGUUCUGUGUGUGGUGUGUGCAAUGGAUGGGCAAUGGGUGUGCAAUAGGCGUGCAAUGGACGUGCAAAGGGUGUGCGGGGUGCCGAGGGUGUGCGGUGUGUGUUGUGAGUGUGUGUGUGAUGGGUGUAUCACUUGUGUGUGUGGUGUGUGCAGUGGGUGUGCAACGGGUAUGCAGUGCAGUGGGUGUGCAAUGGGCGUGCAAAGUGCAUGCAGGGCACCUAGUGUGUGCGGUGUGUGCUGUGUGUGUGUGUCACGUGCUGGGUGUGCAAUGGGUGUGCAGGGUGUUGAGUGCGUGUUUGUGUGAGUGUCACACGUAUUGUGUGUGCAUCGGGUGUGCAAUGGGCGUGCAAUGGUGCAGGUUGCAGAGUGCAUGUGGUGCAUGUGGUGAGUGUGCAUGUGUGUGUCAUAUGUGCUCUGUGUGUGCACUGGGCUUGCACUGGGUGUGCAAUGGGUGUGCAGUGUAUGUCGUGAGUGUGCACGGGGAGUUCAGUUAGCGCAGGAGCUGUGCAGUAGGUGUGCACGUGGUGCAAUGGGUGUGCAGUGAGUGUGCAAUGAGUGUGCAUAGGGUGCGUAGUGCGUACGGUUAGCGUGCAGUGGUUCUGCACGUGUUUUAAUGAGUGUGCAGUGCAGUGAGUGUGCCAUGGGCGUGCUAAGGAAGGGUACUGAGUGUAGUCAGUGUACAGUGGGUGUGUAAUGGGUGUGCAAAUGGUGUGUGUUGCAGUGUGUGCACAUGGGGCAUGCAGUGUUUGUACUCACAUGGUCUGCAUUGCAUGUGUGCAAUGUGUGGUGCAUCUGUGCAUGGGUGUGAGUGUGCAAGGCGUGAACAUUUGUGUAUAGGGGCAGGAUGAAGUGUAUAUGUGUGCAAUUAGACCCUAUUCACACGCGUGUGCAAGGCUUAGUCUGCACAGCACAGAGCAUGCAUGUGC